CUAGAGUUUGAUCCUGGCUCAGAAUCAACGCUGGCGGCGUGCCUCAGACAUGCAAGUCGAACGCGAAAGAAACCUUCGGGUUUCAAGUAGAGUGGCGUCCGGGUGAGUAACACGUAGGUAAUCUACCUUCGGGUGGGGAAUAACGCAGGGAAACUUGCGCUAAUACCGCAUAAUGCAGCGGCACCACAUGGUGACAGUUGUUAAAGCGGGGGAUUUUCGAACCUCGCGCCUGAAGAGGAGCCUGCGGCAGAUUAGCUAGUUGGUAAGGUAACGGCUUACCAAGGCGACGAUCUGUAGCCGGCCUGAGAGGGCGGUCGGCCACACUGACACUGACAUACGGGUCAGACUCCUACAGGAGGCAGCAGUCGGGAAUUUUGGGCAAUGGGCGAAAGCCUGACCCAGCAACGCCGCGUGAAGGAUGAAAUCCCUC
rnacentral:rRNA from 1 species